rnacentral:lncRNA from 1 species
AGCAAUAUUUCUCAUUGUUGGGAGGAUUGAAAUUGUGAUCCGGCUCAAAUUCUAACUUGUAAAUUCUUGUAAUUUUUGCUUUUAAGACCUUUGGCCUUUUUUCUUCUUCUUUCUUCUUGUGUUUAGGGUUGUGCACCUCUAAUGUUUCUCAUGAUCCAAAUUGUUGCUUAUCAAAAAAAAAUUAGACAUGAUUUUUCAAUGCAAC